rnacentral:sRNA from 1 species
GGAAAAUGGCAACUUUAAAGAAGCAGAAGAAGUCUUUGAAAGAAUAUUUGGUGAUCCAAAUUCUCAUAUGCCUUUCAAAAGCAAAUUGCUUAUGAUAAUCUCUCAGAAAGAUACAUUUCAUUCCUUUUUUCAACACUUCAGCUACAACCACAUGAUGGAGAAAAUUAAGAGUUAUGUGAAUUAUGUGCUAAGUGAAAAAUCAUCAACCUUUCUAAUGAAGGCAGCGGCAAAAGUAGUAGAAAGCAAAAGGACAAGAACAAUAACUUCUCAAGAUAAACCUAGUGGUAAUGAUGUUGAAAUGGAAACUGAAGCUAAUUUGGAUACAAGAAAAAGGUCUCACAAGAAUCUUUUCUUUUCUAAGUUGCAACAUGGAACCCAGCAACAAGACCUUACUAAGAAAGAAAGAAGAGUAGGAACUCUUCAAAUUACAUAUAUUUGUCUUACCAAACUGACUAUGAAUAAGAAAGAAGGAGUGAGGAAAGGAUUAUGCUUCUUAGUACUCCUAAAACAUUAUCGUA